CCUACCAUAAUUAAAACUCUAGAAUUUUAGUUUCAAAUUCUUCAGGCAUGGGAGUGUUGUUCUGAAGAAUUUCAGGAAUAAAUAAAAUCUUUGAUCGAGAGCAAGAAACAACAUGUUCCUCAGUAUGAAAAAUCUCUGUCAAUUUUCAGGUUGCAAAAACAGAUGACAAUUGAGGACAAGAGGAAGUUUUCUUUCCAACUUGGUUCUGGUCACUCAUCAAGGUGACAUAUAUCAGUUAGGACAGGCUUUCUGUCCAUAGAAUGAUAGAUUUCCUUCAUAGGAAAGGCCAGCAGGCUACUCGGGGCUCCCUGCUGUGGCCACCAGAUUUGUGUCCACAGGGGCAUCUCUGGGAUGUUCAAAUGCCACCAUCCCUGUUUAUAAACUCAGGAGUGCAGUGGCAAUGCAAAGAAAGCAUGUGAACCAACAUUCCCAGCCUAAGGGAAGCCUCUCUGGGUCUUCAGAUGGUGGAAAUUGCUGAGACGUUUGACAGUGA
rnacentral:lncRNA from 1 species